UCCUGUGUGUGUUUCUGACUGAUCUGCAGUGACUUACAGCUCAGAGCACUGAGAGACUCAACAGAGAACUGAACUGAUCUGAUUGAACAUGGACAGAUGUGUCAUACUGAUUCUCAUUGUGGGAACAGGUUUGGUGGCUGGAGACAGAUAAAGGGACAGAAAAAAACUCUAAAGAAGGAGAAACUGUCAAGCUGAGCUGCUCAUAUAGUUCAAGUAGCGAAUAUGUUCGGCUUUACUGGUACAGACAGUAUCCCAACAAUGGACCACAGUAUUUAUUAUUUAAAAAUGCACGGUCAUCAGUUGAUAAUGAGCACACCUCUGAUGAUCGGUUUGAGUUGACUGCAUCACGCACAUCCAGUGAACUCACUAUUACUGAUGUACGUCUGUCAGAUUCAGCUCACUAUUAUUGUGCUCUAAGAGUAGAAGCCCAGUGAUACAAAACAUGAGACAUGUCGUACAAAAACCUGAAGCUCUUUUCACUUUGAAAAUAUCUAGUGAAAGCCACAAUCAAAACCACAAUCUAUCCAGCCCAGAAUGUAAUAAAAUAUGUGGUAACACCUGGUAAUUUUUUUUUUUUUAAAUAAAAUCCAAGAAGCUUUGCAUAUAGCCUACAGUGUAUAUAUGUUUUACUGUUUGAUUAAUUAUGGACCUUUUCUUUUUCAAAGGAAGU